UGGUGUUCUUGUGUUAUUAUCCUAAGAUA
rnacentral:piRNA from 1 species